rnacentral:tRNA from 3 species
GGCGACGUGGCCGAGUGGUUCAGGCAAGGGCCUGCAAAGCCCUGUACAUGGGUUCGAUUCCCAUCGUCGCCUCCA